GACGAACGCUGGCGGCGUGCCUAAUACAUGCAAGUCGAACGCAGUGGGGACGGGUGAGUAACACGUGGGUAACCUCCCAUCAGAGGGGAUAACACUUGGAAACAGGGGAUAAACCGAUACUGAUGGAUGGACCCGCGGUGCAUUAGCUAGUGGGGUGGGUAACGGGUCACCAAGGCCACGAUGCGUAGGCGACCGGAGAGGGUGAUCGGCCACACGGGGACUGGGACACGGCCCAGACGCCUACGGGAGGCAGCAGUAGGGAAUCGUCGGCAAUGGACGAAAGUCUGACCGAGUAACGCCGCGUGAGAGAAGAAGGUUUUCGGAGGGUAAAACUCUGUUGUUAGAGGAGCGGUAUCUAACCAGGAAGCCACGGCUAACUACGUGCCAGCAGCCGCGGUAAUUC
rnacentral:rRNA from 1 species